AGUGAACGCUGGCGGUAGGCCUAACACAUGCAAGUCGAACGGCAGCACAGUAAGAGCUUGCUCUUACGGGUGGCGAGUGGCGGACGGGUGAGGAAUACAUCGAAAUCUACUUUUUCGUGGGGGAUAACGUCGGGAAACUUACGCUAAUACCGCAUACGACCUACGGGUGAAAGCAGGGGAUCUUCGGACCUUGCGCGAUUGAAUGAGCCGAUGUCGGAUUAGCUAGUUGGCGGGGUAAAGGCCCACCAAGGCGACAAUCCGUAUCUGGUCUGAGAGGAUGAUCAGCCACACUGGAACUGAGACACGGUCCAGACUCCUACGGGAGGCAGCAGUGGGGAAUAUUGGACGAUGGGCGCAAGCCUGAUCCAGCCAUACCGCGUGGGUGAAGAAGGCCUUCGGGUUGUAAAGCCCUUUUGUUGGGAAAGAAAAGCAGCAGGUUAAUACCCCGCUGUUCUGACGGUACCCAAAGAAUAAGCACCGGCUAACUUCGUG
rnacentral:rRNA from 1 species